GAAGAACCAACAGGGAUUGCCCUAGUAACGGCGAGUGAAGCGGCAAGAGCUCAGAUUUGAAAUCUGGCGCCUUCGGCGUCCGAGUUGUAAUCUGUAGAGGAUGCUAUUGGGUAGCCACCGGUCUAAGUCCCCUGGAACGGGGCGUCGCAGAGGGUGAGAAUCCCGUAUGUGACCGGAAGGGCGCCCUCCACAUAGCUCCUUCGACGAGUCGAGUUGUUUGGGAAUGCAGCUCUAAAUGGGAGGUAAAUUCCUUCUAAAGCUAAAUACCGGCCAGAGACCGAUAGCGCACAAGUAGAGUGAUCGAAAGAUGAAAAGCACUUUGGAAAGAGAGUUAAAAAGCACGUGAAAUUGUUGAAAGGGAAGCGCUUGCAACCAGACUUGUUGGCGGUGUUCCGCCGGUCUUCUGACCGGUGUACUCACCGUCUGCAGGCCAGCAUCAUCUGGGGCCGCCGGAUAAAAGCGGGGGGAAUGUGGCUCCCUCGGGAGUGUUAUAGCCCCUCGUGCAAUACGGCGUGCCUCGGGUGAGGUCCGCGCUUCGGCUAGGAUGCUGGCGUAAUGGUCGUAAGCGGCCCGUCUUGAAACACGGACCAAGGAGUCUAACAUCUAUGCGAGUGUUGGGGGUGGAAAA
rnacentral:rRNA from 1 species